AAGCUUUGCCAGCAUAGCAGGGACCAGUGAGGAGGGAGUCCCAUUUACAAGGACCGCCUUGAUGUGAGAAUGGCUGUGAUUGGUGUGUGACUGACAGAAAUGAUGAGUCAAUCAGAGGGGGCUUGACUUGCAUGUGUCCUGCAUGAACUAACAAUUUGAAUAAUU